GUUUUACCAAAUUUGUGGGUAAUGAGCUCCUCACUGACAGAUUGAAGCAAAGAAAAAAUGGUGGGAACUCCGAUUACUCCGAUUAAUGGAAGAACAAGGCUUUCUUUUGGUGUUGUAAAUGGUGGCCAUGACCUUGGCCCAAGUAGCACUCCACCAAGCAAUGCUGGGUCUGAUUAUGGCAGUGUUGAGUUCACAAGAGAGGAUGUGGAGGCCUUGCUGAAUGAAAAAUCUAAAAGGAAAGACAGAUUUAACUAUAAGGUUAGUUAAAGUUUGUAGCUUUACUUUCAUUCAAUUUGCAUCAUGUGUAUUUUUUCAUUGCUUGUUUUGGUAAUGAGCUCCUCACUGACAGAUUGAAGCAAAGAAAAAAUGGUGGGAACUCCGAUUACUCCGAUUAAUGGAAGAACAAGGCUUUCUUUUGGUGUUGUAAAUGGUGGCCAUGACCUUGGCCCAAGUAGCACUCCACCAAGCAAUGCUGGGUCUGAUUAUGGCAGUGUUGAGUUCACAAGAGAGGAUGUGGAGGCCUUGCUGAAUGAAAAAUCUAAAAGGAAAGACAGAUUUAACUAUAAGG
rnacentral:lncRNA from 1 species